GCUUGCGGCGUGCUUAACACAUGCAAGUCGAACGGAAAGGCCCUGCUUUUGUGGGGUGCUCGAGUGGCGAACGGGUGAGUAACACGUGAGUAACCUGCCCUUGACUUUGGGAUAACUUCAGGAAACUGGGGCUAAUACCGGAUAGGAGCUCCUGCUGCAUGGUGGGGGUUGGAAAGUUUCGGCGGUUGGGGAUGGACUCGCGGCUUAUCAGCUUGUUGGUGGGGUAGUGGCUUACCAAGGCUUUGACGGGUAGCCGGCCUGAGAGGGUGACCGGCCACAUUGGGACUGAGAUACGGCCCAGACUCCUACGGGAGGCAGCAGUGGGGAAUAUUGCACAAUGGGCGGAAGCCUGAUGCAGCAACGCCGCGUGCGGGAUGACGGCCUUCGGGUUGUAAACCGCUUUCGCCUGUGACGAAGCGUGAGUGACGGUAAUGGGUAAAGAAGCACCGGCUAACUACGUGCCAGCAGCCGCGGUGAUACGUAGGGUGCGAGCGUUGUCCGGAUUUAUUGGGCGUAAAGGGCUCGUAGGUGGUUGAUCGCGUCGGAAGUGUAAUCUUGGGGCUUAACCCUGAGCGUGCUUUCGAUACGGGUUGACUUGAGGAAGGUAGGGGAGAAUGGAAUUCCUGGUGGAGCGGUGGAAUGCGCAGAUAUCAGGAGGAACACCAGUGGCGAAGGCGGUUCUCUGGGCCUUUCCUGACGCUGAGGAGCGAAAGCGUGGGGAGCGAACAGGCUUAGAUACCCUGGUAGUCCACGCUGUAAACGGUGGGUACUAGGUGUGGGGUCCAUUCCACGGGUUCCGUGCCGUAGCUAACGCUUUAAGUACCCCGCCUGGGGAGUACGGCCGCAAGGCUAAAACUCAAAGGAAUUGACGGGGCCCCGCACAAGCGGCGGAGCAUGCGGAUUAAUUCGAUGCAACGCGUAGAACCUUACCUGGGUUUGACAUGGAUCGGGAGUGCUCAGAGAUGGGUGUGCCUCUUUUGGGGUCGGUUCACAGGUGGUGCAUGGCUGUCGUCAGCUCGUGUCGUGAGAUGUUGGGUUAAGUCCCGCAACGAGCGCAACCCUUGUUCACUGUUGCCAGCACGUUAUGGUGGGGACUCAGUGGAGACCGCCGGGGUCAACUCGGAGGAAGGUGGGGAUGACGUCAAGUCAUCAUGCCCCUUAUGUCCAGGGCUUCACGCAUGCUACAAUGGCUGGUACAGAGAGUGGCGAGCCUGUGAGGGUGAGCGAAUCUCGGAAAGCCGGUCUCAGUUCGGAUUGGGGUCUGCAACUCGACCUCAUGAAGUCGGAGUCGCUAGUAAUCGCAGAUCAGCAACGCUGCGGUGAAUACGUUCCCGGGGCUUGUACACACCGCUCGUCAAGUCAUGAAAGUUGGUAACACCCGAAGCCGGUGGCCUAACCGUUGUGGGGGAGCCGUCGAAGGUGGGACUGGUGAUUAGGACUAA
rnacentral:rRNA from 1 species